rnacentral:other from 1 species
UUCGCCCUGCGGUGUGCGUGAUGCCCACUGUGUUUUGUUCCAACACUUUUUUGAACGGGAGUUCGAUGUCUCUCCCACCUUAGCAAAUGCCCGUCUGAGAUGGGACUUGCGAAGUGGAUGAGCAGGGCACCCACCUGCGCGAGCAGGAUCAAAACCUCGGGUGACACGGCAAUGGCGGGGCGUUG